GGGGGAUGACUGCCGGCCCUGAGGUGCCCGAGACCGGCGCUCGUCACCCGGGUGGUGGGCCUCGAAGCUGCGGCGGCCGUAUGGCAGCUCAGCCCUCGGUGACAGCCGCCCUCCUUCCUGAGCUGGUUAAAUGUGAUUUAGAAACGGGCGAGGUGCGGAGCUGGUUCGGUUUCCUCCCUGGUGUGGCUUGCUCCAUAUUUGAUUUCGAGCUCUGUCAGCCCGCCUGGUGACCCAGUUCACCGAGCGCUGCGAUGCGCGCCUUAUUCCCCAGACUCGCACUGCUCGCGUCUUUUCGGGCGUGCAUCAGAGGUGGAAAAUUGAUGUGAAACAAGAAGGACACAACACAAACAACACUGCUGUAGACUACAGCCCCCCUUCCAGAUUACUGGCGUUGAUGAAGCUAUUCGGAAGACUGCAAGGCUGCUGUGGAGCAGAGAGAUUCCUGGCGUGCGUGCCACACAAUUGCACUGCUUUUAGCCUGCUUGGAGACAAAUGAAACAAAUCCAUAAACCUACGAGAUUUCCAUCAACCAUAGAGAAGUGACCGCAUGGUAAUGAAGAGAAACUGAAAAAUCUGACAAGUUAAGGAUGAGUUCAGAAUAAUGAGGUAACAUUCCCAUUUGAGUUCUUUGAAGUAGUAACUGUUAAUAUA